AAGGCUUGACAUGGGGAAGACUGGACGAGAGAUCGUCCUUCUCUAGCAAUAGAGCUUCCCACACAGGUGCUGCAUGGCUGUCGUCAGCUCGUGUCGUGAGAUGUUGGGUUAAGUCCCGCAACGAGCGCAACCCCCGUUUCUAGUUGCCAUCAUUCAGUUGGGCCCUCUAGAGAGACUGCCGCGAAUAACGCGGAGAAGGUGGGACGACGUCAAGUCAUCAUGGU
rnacentral:rRNA from 1 species